rnacentral:miRNA from 1 species
UGCAUGCCGGGCUGAGUUUCAGCCCGGGCUGAAAUUUCAGCCCGGGUAGCUCAAACCGGGCUGAAAUUUCAGCUCGGGCUGAAACUCGCCCCGGCUGAA